UAUUGGAUGUAGAGCAUGGGUUUAUUCACAAAGCGAAAGAAGCACGUCAUUUUAGAAAUCAUGAUCAUACAGUGUCAGACAUCAUGUCAUUUCACUCAUUUAAGAAUUGAAUGCUUCUUUUUGUAAAAUCAUUGGAUAUGAAAGCACUGACCGGGGAACAUUUUUGAUUAAGUGCGGAAGCACUUCUUCCUAAAAUGUGCACACGGUCAACUCUUUUACAUCCCUAUAUAGAAUUACUUAUAGAAGUAUGCAAUACUUAAAAACACAUUAUUUUGCUAGGGUCAUGAAAACACGAUUUCUAUCAAAUUUUACUUUUAUUUAGAAUUGUCUUAUCGGAAAUCAUACCACGUCUCCUUUUUUUACUUUGUCUUAUAUGUAUAAUGUAAUUAUUGAUAUAUGUACAUAUAUAGAUAAACAAAUCACAUGUACUUGCUUAUGGGACACAUAAAACUCUAAACUUUGGUGACUUUUGUGAUGAAAAUAAUUUAAAUAGAUAACACAAGAAAAGACAGGAAUAGCUGGGCAUAGCUAUGCUGAACAUAUACAUAUUCUUACAAUCUAGUCUAACAUGAUAUGCUUGGAACAACACCUAUACUAUGCAGUAGAUUUUGAACACAAACUGCAAAUGAUGAGGGUUGAACAGUGGUAAGGGGAACAUGGGAAUGAAUGGGCAGGAAUAUGGAGUCAGAGCGG
rnacentral:lncRNA from 1 species